GGAGUUUGGACCGUGUCUCAGUUCCAAUGUGGGGGACCUUCCUCUCAGAACCCCUACCGAUCGAUGGCUCGGUGGGCCGUUACCCCGCCGACUACCUAAUCGGACGCAUCCCCAUCCCUUAGCGAUGAAUCUUUGCUUUACAUUAGAUGUCUGCCGUAAAGAACAUAGGGUAUUAAUCCGACUUUCGCCGGGCUAUGCCCUACUAAGGGGAAGGUUGGAUACGCGUUACUCACCCGUGCGCCGGUCGCCAGCAAAUCUAGCAAGCUAGAUCCCUGAUGCCCCUCGACUUGCAUGUGUUAAGCCUGUAGCUAGCGUUCAUC
rnacentral:rRNA from 1 species